rnacentral:ncRNA from 1 species
GGUAACUGUCAAAUCAGUUUCAAAAGGGAACACGGGUGAGAUUCCCGGACAGUCCCGCUGCUGUAUUUCUCAGUUAAGGAUUCGGAUGAGCAGCUGCUCCCAUGGCUGCAAGAAACGCCACUGAUCCGCGUGGAUCGGGAAGGUUCCGGACUCCUGAGAUAAGUCAGAAUACCUGCCUCAGAUUCAA